GGAAGUAAAAGCGUAACAAGGUCUCCGUUGGUGAACCAGCGGAGGGAUCAUUACAGGAUCGAAAGACUCCUAUAACCCCUGUGAACUUACUACAAAUACGUUGCUUCGGCGGGUGCCCCGGGUCUCCCGGGGCGUUCAGCCCGCCGGCAGCCUUCAAAUUCUGUUUCUUUGCGUUGGCAUCUCGAGUAUACAAAAAUAAGUUAAAACUUUCAACAACGGAUCUCUUGGUUCUG
rnacentral:misc_RNA from 1 species